UUCUGGGGCAGAAAGUUGAGCAGUGUUACCAUUAAACCCCUCCAUGUAGCCAUCCAGCUGGACAACACUCAUACACAGGACAGAAUGAUGAGGAGAUUUAGCACAGCAGCUUUUCUGUCUCCAGUUUUUAGAAUGCUGCGAUCACUCUGGAGUUUGGAGGUCAUGUGGCUACUCAUGCUAUAGUGACAGUAUCCUUUUCACCUGAGCCUUGUCAGCACCUUCUACUUGAGAAAUCUAAUGCAGCUGAAAUAAUAAAGCAUGAAGAUAAAUUUA